CCUACGGGAGGCAGCAGUGGGGAAUUUUGGACAAUGGGGGCAACCCUGAUCCAGCAAUGCCGCGUGAGUGAAGAAGGCCUUCGGGUUGUAAAGCUCUUUUGUCAGGGAAGAAACGGCAGUUUCUAAUACAAGCUGCUAAUGACGGUACCUGAAGAAUAAGCACCGGCUAACUACGUGCCAGCAGCCGCGGUAAUACGUAGGGUGCAAGCGUUAAUCGGAAUUACUGGGCGUAAAGCGUGCGCAGGCGGUUAUAUAAGUCAGAUGUGAAAUCCCCGGGCUCAACCUGGGAACUGCAUUUGAGACUGUAUGGCUAGAGUGUGUCAGAGGGGGGUAGAAUUCCACGUGUAGCAGUGAAAUGCGUAGAUAUGUGGAGGAAUACCGAUGGCGAAGGCAGCCCCCUGGGAUAACACUGACGCUCAUGCACGAAAGCGUGGGGAGCAAACAGGAUUAGAUACCCUGGUAGUCCACGCCCUAAACGAUGUCUACUAGUUNUCGGGUCUUAAUUGACUUGGUAACGCAGCUAACGCGUGAAGUAGACCGCCUGGGGUAAGGUAGGUCGCGAGAGUUAAACGUUACGAAGAAGUUAGAGNGNGAGAGNGCGAGGACGACGACGAGGGAGAGG
rnacentral:rRNA from 1 species